AAGGAACUUUAAAUACCAUCUAAUUCCAACCCCCUGCCAUGGGCAGGGACACCUUUCACUACACCAGGUUGCUCCAAGCCCCAUCCAACCUGGCCUUGGACACUUCCAGGAUGGGGCAGCCACAGCUUCUCUGGGC